rnacentral:rRNA from 1 species
AUACGUAGGGGGCAAGCGUUAUCCGGAUUUACUGGGUGUAAAGGGAGCGUAGACGGCGAUGCAAGUCUGAAGUGAAAACCCGGGGCUCAACCCCGUGGACUGCUUUGGAAACUGUGUUGCUGGAGUGCAGGAGAGGUGAGUGGAAUUCCUAGUGUAGCGGUGAAAUGCGUAGAUAUUAGGAGGAACACCAGUGGCGAAGGGGGCUCAUGGGACUGUAACUGAGGUGGAGGCGCGAAAGCGUGGGGAGCAAACAGAAUUAGAUCCCCUGGUAGUCCACGCCGUAAACGAUGAAUGCUAGGUGUCGGGGGGCAAAGCCCUUCGGUGCCGCCGCUAACGCAUUAAGCAUUCCACCUGGGGAGUACGUUCGCAAGAAUGAAACUCAAAGGAAUUGACGGGG